UGAGAAAGUCCAAGCCAUGUAUA
rnacentral:piRNA from 1 species